rnacentral:rRNA from 1 species
GGUUAAGCGACUAAGCGUACACGGUGGAUGCCCUGGCAGUCAGAGGCGAUGAAGGGCGUGCUAAUCUGCGAUAAGCGCCGGUAAGGUGAUAUGAACCGUUAUAACCGGCGAUACCCGAAUGGGGAAACCCAGUGUGAUUCGUCACACUAUCAUUAACUGAAUCCAUAGGUUAAUGAGGCGAACCGGGGGAACUGAAACAUCUAAGUACCCCGAGGAAAAGAAAUCAACCGAGAUUCCCCCAGUAGCGGCGAGCGAACGGGGAGGAGCCCAGAGCCUGAAUCAGCAUGUGUGUUAGUGGAAGCGUCUGGAAAGGCGCGCGAUACAGGGUGACAGCCCCGUACACAAAAGCGCAUGUGCUGUGAGCUCGAUGAGUAGGGCGGGACACGUGGUAUCCUGUCUGAAUAUGGGGGGACCAUCCUCCAAGGCUAAAUACUCCUGACUGACCGAUAGUGAACCAGUACCGUGAGGGAAAGGCGAAAAGAACCCCGGCGAGGGGAGUGAAAAAGAACCUGAAACCGUGUACGUACAAGCAGUGGGAGCACAGGUUUACCUGUGUGACUGCGUACCUUUUGUAUAAUGGGUCAGCGACUUAUAUUCUGUAGCAAGGUUAACCGUAUAGGGGAGCCGCAGGGAAACCGAGUCUUAACCGGGCGUUAAGUUGCAGGGUAUAGACCCGAAACCCGGUGAUCUAGCCAUGGGCAGGUUGAAGGUUGGGUAACACUAACUGGAGGACCGAACCGACUAAUGUUGAAAAAUUAGCGGAUGACCUGUGGCUGGGGGUGAAAGGCCAAUCAAACCGGGAGAUAGCUGGUUCUCCCCGAAAGCUAUUUAGGUAGCGCCUCGUGAAUUCAUCUCCGGGGGUAGAGCACUGUUUCGGCUAGGGGGCCAUCCCGGCUUACCAACCCGAUGCAAACUGCGAAUACCGGAGAAUGUUAUCACGGGAGACACACGGCGGGUGCUAACGUCCGUCGUGAAGAGGGAAACAACCCAGACCGCCAGCUAAGGUCCCAAAGUCAUGGUUAAGUGGGAAACGAUGUGGGAAGGCCCAGACAGCCAGGAUGUUGGCUUAGAAGCAGCCAUCAUUUAAAGAAAGCGUAAUAGCUCACUGGUCGAGUCGGCCUGCGCGGAAGAUGUAACGGGGCUAAACCAUGCACCGAAGCUGCGGCAGCGANNNNNNNNNNNNNNNNNNNNNNNNNNNNNNNNNNNNNNNNNNNNNNNNNNNNNNNNNNNNNNNNNNNNNNNNNNNNNNNNNNNNNNNNNNNNNNNNNNNNGUUGGGUAGGGGAGCGUUCUGUAAGCCUGUGAAGGUGGCCUGUGAGGGUUGCUGGAGGUAUCAGAAGUGCGAAUGCUGACAUAAGUAACGAUAAAGCGGGUGAAAAGCCCGCUCGCCGGAAGACCAAGGGUUCCUGUCCAACGUUAAUCGGGGCAGGGUGAGUCGACCCCUAAGGCGAGGCCGAAAGGCGUAGUCGAUGGGAAACGGGUUAAUAUUCCCGUACUUGGUGUUACUGCGAAGGGGGGACGGAGAAGGCUAUGUUGGCCGGGCGACGGUUGUCCCGGUUUAAGCGUGUAGGUGUGUGUUCCAGGUAAAUCCGGUUCACUUUAACACUGAGGCGUGAUGACGAGGCACUACGGUGCUGAAGCAACAAAUGCCCUGCUUCCAGGAAAAGCCUCUAAGCAUCAGGUAACAUCAAAUCGUACCCCAAACCGACACAGGUGGUCAGGUAGAGAAUACCAAGGCGCUUGAGAGAACUCGGGUGAAGGAACUAGGCAAAAUGGUGCCGUAACUUCGGGAGAAGGCACGCUGACACGUAGGUGAAGUGAUUUACUCAUGGAGCUGAAGUCAGUCGAAGAUACCAGCUGGCUGCAACUGUUUAUUAAAAACACAGCACUGUGCAAACACGAAAGUGGACGUAUACGGUGUGACGCCUGCCCGGUGCCGGAAGGUUAAUUGAUGGGGUCAGCGCAAGCGAAGCUCCUGAUCGAAGCCCCGGUAAACGGCGGCCGUAACUAUAACGGUCCUAAGGUAGCGAAAUUCCUUGUCGGGUAAGUUCCGACCUGCACGAAUGGCGUAAUGAUGGCCAGGCUGUCUCCACCCGAGACUCAGUGAAAUUGAACUCGCUGUGAAGAUGCAGUGUACCCGCGGCAAGACGGAAAGACCCCGUGAACCUUUACUAUAGCUUGACACUGAACAUUGAGCCUUGAUGUGUAGGAUAGGUGGGAGGCUUUGAAGUGUGGACGCCAGUCUGCAUGGAGCCGACCUUGAAAUACCACCCUUUAAUGUUUGAUGUUCUAACGUGGACCCGUAAUCCGGGUUGCGGACAGUGUCUGGUGGGUAGUUUGACUGGGGCGGUCUCCUCCUAAAGAGUAACGGAGGAGCACGAAGGUUGGCUAAUCCUGGUCGGACAUCAGGAGGUUAGUGCAAUGGCAUAAGCCAGCUUGACUGCGAGCGUGACGGCGCGAGCAGGUGCGAAAGCAGGUCAUAGUGAUCCGGUGGUUCUGAAUGGAAGGGCCAUCGCUCAACGGAUAAAAGGUACUCCGGGGAUAACAGGCUGAUACCGCCCAAGAGUUCAUAUCGACGGCGGUGUUUGGCACCUCGAUGUCGGCUCAUCACAUCCUGGGGCUGAAGUAGGUCCCAAGGGUAUGGCUGUUCGCCAUUUAAAGUGGUACGCGAGCUGGGUUUAGAACGUCGUGAGACAGUUCGGUCCCUAUCUGCCGUGGGCGCUGGAGAACUGAGGGGGGCUGCUCCUAGUACGAGAGGACCGGAGUGGACGCAUCACUGGUGUUCGGGUUGUCAUGCCAAUGGCACUGCCCGGUAGCUAAAUGCGGAAGAGAUAAGUGCUGAAAGCAUCUAAGCACGAAACUUGCCCCGAGAUGAGUUCUCCCUGAGACUUAAAGUCUCCUGAAGGAACGUUGAAGACGACGACGUUGAUAGGCCGGGUGUGUAAGCGCAGCGAUGCGUUGAGCUAACCGGUACUAAUGAACCGUGAGGCUUAACCUU